rnacentral:rRNA from 1 species
AUUGAACGCUGGCGGCAGGCCUAACACAUGCAAGUCGAACGGUAACAGGAAGAAGCUUGCUUCUUUGCUGACGAGUGGCGGACGGGUGAGUAAUGCCUGGGAAACUGCCUGAUGGAGGGGGAUAACUACUGGAAACGGUAGCUAAUACCGCAUAACGUCGCAAGACCAAAGAGGGGGACCUUCGGGCCUCUUGCCAUCGGAUGUGCCCAGAUGGGAUUAGCUAGUAGGUGGGGUAACGGCUCACCUAGGCGACGAUCCCUAGCUGGUCUGAGAGGAUGACCAGCCACACUGGAACUGAGACACGGUCCAGACUCCUACGGGAGGCAGCAGUGGGGAAUAUUGCACAAUGGGCGCAAGCCAGAUGCAGCCAUGCCGCGUGUAUGAAGAAGGCCUUCGGGUUGUAAAGUACUUUCAGCGGGGAGGAAGGGAGUAAAGUUAAUACCUUUGCUCAUUGACGUUACCCGCAGAAGAAGCACCGGCUAACUCCGUG